CCAGCACCCAACUUUACCACCCUCCCCCACCUCUCCCCCGAAACUCCAGCAACAAAGAAAAGUAGUCGGAGAAGGAGCGGCGACUCAGGGUCGCCCGCCCCUCCUCACCGAGGAAGGCCGAAAGGGAAAAGAUUACAGCAAACACCUCAAUCGCCAUUUGGUUAAUGUGUACUAUCUUGAAGAAGCAGCUCAAGGGCAGGAGUAAUGAAACUUUGAACAAGGUUUCAGUUCUUAGUUUG
rnacentral:sRNA from 1 species